rnacentral:rRNA from 1 species
UACGGAAGGUGCAAGCGUUAAUCGGAAUUACUGGGCGUAAAGCGCGCGUAGGCGGCUUGGUAAGUCGGAUGUGAAAGCCCCGGGCUCAACCUGGGAACUGCAUUCGAUACUGCUGGGCUGGAGUACGAGAGAGGGGGGUGGAAUUCCAGGUGUAGCGGUGAAAUGCGUAGAGAUCUGGAGGAACACCAGUGGCGAAGGCGGCCCCCUGGUUCGAUACUGACGCUGAGGUGCGAAAGCGUGGGUAGCAAACAGG